rnacentral:rRNA from 1 species
UGGGGAAUUUUGGACAAUGGGCGCAAGCCUGAUCCAGCCAUGCCGCGUGCGGGAAGAAGGCCUUCGGGUUGUAAACCGCUUUUGUCAGGGAAGAAAUCUUCUGAGUUAAUACCUCGGGAGGAUGACGGUACCUGAAGAAUAAGCACCGGCUAACUACGUGCCAGCAGCCGCGGUAAUACGUAGGGUGCAAGCGUUAAUCGGAAUUACUGGGCGUAAAGCGUGCGCAGGCGGUUUUGUAAGACAGAGGUGAAAUCCCCGGGCUCAACCUGGGAACUGCCUUUGUGACUGCAAGGCUUGAGUGCGGCAGAGGGGGAUGGAAUUCCGCGUGUAGCAGUGAAAUGCGUAGAUGUGCGGAGGAACACCGAUGGCGAAGGCAAUCCCCUGGGCCUGCACUGACGCUCAUGCACGAAAGCGUGGGGAGCAAACAGGAUUAGAUACCCUGGCUAGUCCACGCCCUAAACGAUGUCAACUGGUUGUUGGGAAGGUUCCUUCUCAGUAACGUAGCUAACGCGUGAAGUUGACCGCCUGGGGAGUACGGCCGCAAGGUUGAAACUUAAAUGAAUUGACGGGGUCA